rnacentral:lncRNA from 1 species
GAAGGCGUGGCCUCCUGGGCAAUCUCUCAAGUGUCAGGAGCUGGGAGGGAAGGCAAAGAGGGGGGCGUGACGGGGUGACGGACUUCAGCUACAGCCAAUCGCAAGUGAAGGCGGUGAGCGGAGUGCCAUCUGCGUCACAACAGUGUAACAAAUUCUCUCACGAGGGAGGGGAAGUGCCCCUCCACCAGCGGGCCUUGUACGCCUGCGCGCAGCUCCAGCCUAUAAUUGCUCUGCUGACAGACUUUGAGACCAGGCUAGAGGGUAGUUCGGGAGUCAAAAUGGGUCGCUCCUUGCCUUCCCUCUCCUCUCUACUACCAAUGAAGAACUGGAGCGACGGGUGGGGAGUUUCAGGGCAAGGGCGCGAAAGAGUGCCAGUUUUGCGUCACUGAAAAGGGGCGGAGCAAAGGUUUGGGUGGGCGCGCCAGAGGUGUGAUUGACAGGCAAAGGGGUGUAAGCGAAAUGAGUUUGUCCAAUCCGAACGAGGUACUGGACUCCUGGGCGGGCUUUAGCUCUUCGCUGGCUCUAAACCACAUAAUUGGUAGUUGGGUAAUAAAUUUGUAGCUUUGGUGGUUUAGGCACCGCAAGUCCCUGCGAGGUACUCUUGCGUGGGGUUUGGGCGGUCUAGCAUCUACUACUUCAAAGAGUUCUACAAGUCCAUGACCUUCAAAGAGAGGUUCCUCAUUCCCAACUCAGUAGCCCACUAAUUUUCACUCCUUCAGCCAAAGGCCUCAAGACUCUGAAAGUACAAAUUUUCUGCUCAGUGGUUUGUGGAUUUGGGAGCUUACCGUUUACUCUUGGGGUCUCUUCCUUGGAGAUUCCAUCUAGAUUUUAAAUAUCUUAAGGACAAGAAUUGUCCGUCUUAGUUUUUUGUGCAGUGCUUUCCACAUGAUAUUUAAACAAGUGAACUGAAUAGUCUGUCUCCUUUUGUUCUGGUGCACCCAAAUCUACAGUCUUCUUCUGCGAGCCCUAAAUCGUUUCCUUUCGACAUGAUAAAAAUAACUGCCAUGUAUUCAAGCAAAGUUACUUGCUACAUAGGAACAGAAAAUUCUGAUUUGGGGUAGGAAGUAGACCUGUACUCAAAACAUUUUCUCUUCAGACUCACUGGGUGGUGAAAUUAUACAGUUUUCCCAGUCAGGGAAGAUUGGAAACCCCAGUAGCAUCUAGAACACUUUUGUAUUUCUUAUCCUAUCAAGCUCCAGAUUGUGUGGAAUCUGCCUUCACAAAAGUUCAACAACAGUCCUUUACAAUUUGCGCAACCGACCACCAAACAUAGUUGAGGGCUUUUAAAGUGACUGCCACUUUUAUUUUAUCUGCAUGUGUGAAGAAAUACCUAGAGAAUACAGUCCAAACUCAAGGAUCUCUUCAGUCUGACUCUUGACUGUAUUCCUAUUGCAUGUAUUAUCCAUAUCAUUCAUAGGGUCAGACAUCAUUUUCUGUCUGAGAUGGUUGUAUGUUUGUUACCCCCCUGAAAGUUUGUAAAUAUCAAGAGAGCAAGAAUUUACUUUUUGUCUCCAUAUUCUGAGCACAGGAUAGAUAUACAGUAUAUAACAAUCUAAUUUUUAAUCCUCAAAAACAGAUUUCUGAACCUGUGGUUAUUGGAUCACCUUCAUCAACAUUCUCUGGGGUGUUUGUUUAAAAUUCAGACUGCUGGAUCUCAUCCUUGAAAAAAUAAUCAGAGCAUGUGGGAAAAGCUCUAAAAAAAAAUUUUUUUGGGGGGGGUACCAGGAAUUGAACCCAGGGGUGUUUUAACAUUGAGCCAUAUCUCCAGCACUUUUGCAAGCACAAGUACACAUUAAUUUUGAAUUUGUUUGUUUCUGGGGAUUGAACCCAGGGGUGCUUUUCAACUGAGUCACAUCCCCAACUGUUUAUUUUGGGGUCUCACUAAGUUGCUUAGGGCCUUGCUAAGUUGUGGAGGCAAGUCUCAAACUUGUGAUCUUUCUGCCUCAGCUUCCUGAGUUGCUGAGAUUGCAAGCAUGCACCACCUUGCCCAGCACUUGUGUACAUUGAGAUGAUUAGAAAUCUUGCAAUUUUUAGGAAGGACCUUUUGUUAAUAGGGCGAUACCAGCAGUCAUUGUUUUCAGUUGCUCCCACUUUUUGCUUUUUAAUUAUAAUCUUUUUAGCUAAGUUUACCAUUUUAAAAUAUAGUUUGUUGUGGGCUAUUGUACAGGCUAUUUUGUUGGUCAAUCAGGAAUUUAUAAGCGACUGAGAAUUAGAUUAGAGAUUUUGUUUGAAUGAGGAUAUGGACAAGACUUGCUGAUGGAUUGAAUGUGAGCUGUUGGUAUAGCAGAGGUAAUAUUAAUCCCAAACAUGCCAAUGUAUUUAUACUUUCUGAUAUCUGAUAAAUUCCUUUUCUGUAGCUAUGAAGUCUUUUGCACCAUCUAAAUGGGCUAUUAUAAUAAAUUUCCAUUAGCUCCUGGUCUACCCAUCUAUACCCUGUAUAGAUGAGAAACUAGGACAUAAUUUGAAAGGGCUCAGCUCAUGCCACAUAUCAUUGUCCUUGCAGAGUGGGACUCAAAAUCCCUGAGGUUGGCAAACUCUCUGCACUUUAAUUCAACCCUGCAAGCAUUUCUCAAGUGUCCUUUUUGUGUCAGGCAAUAUGCCAGUCACUAAGAAUGAAGAGAUAAAUAAAGCACAGCCCUUAAAAUUAAUCCAGUAAAGAGGGACAACAUAAACAAGUGAAUAAAAACUUAUCACAAAUGUUCUCCUUUUAUUGGUUCCUUUUAGUUAUUCAUGACAGUAGAAUCGAUUUUGACAUAAUUAUAAAGGCACAGAGUAUAUCUUAUUCUAAUUCAGUCCCCAGUACCUGUCCUUCCCUUUCCCUCCCCCCACCCUCGCUCUGUUUCUUCUAUUGAUCUUCCUGCCAAUCGCAAAUGUUCUUCAUGGUGUUAUGGGGGAAAUGGUGGGGAAAGGACUUCAUCUGGUUUGGAAAGAAAGAGUCAGAGAAAAUUUAACGGAAACCAGAAUGUUCGAAGGGAGUCUUGAAACAGACAAAGUUUUCAUGUGGUAAAGACAAGAAGAAAAAUAAUCUGCCAUUGAAGAAACUGGCUUACCCAUAUUUCUUCAUCACUAUAAUGAUUUCCAUAUCUAAAUGAACUUACUUAUUUCACCCACCAUGUUAUUAAAAAAUAAGAUUCCAU